UUUUUUCUCAUUCUAACCCAAAAAACUUCAUUUCCUCUCAUUUCCUCUACAUUUCCAUCUAAAAAAUUCUCAUAACUUUCAUUUUCAUAAUCACAAACUUCAUAUUUUCGAGUUACUUCAUUAGUGAAUCGUUAAAGAUGCUUCUUUUUGCUUAUAUUUGGAGUUUGGACGGUUGAAAAGGUUGGAAACGAGCUUUACACAGAAAAAAGGUAACUAUUUACAUGGUUUUCGUUCUUUUUCAGAUCUGUGUCGCGACGGUAGACUGUUUUGUAUGUCUACGCCUCCGUGGAGACUUACGAUGCAGUCUAUUUGUCAACGCACGGGUUAGUUUUGCAAUUGACCAGACAAUUUUUUUUUCUAACGCAGACUUCCCCACUAGUCUCCGUCUUUACCUUUGACAACAAAAAUAAAACUUUCGGUA
rnacentral:lncRNA from 1 species